rnacentral:rRNA from 1 species
ACGUAGGGGGCAAGCGUUAUCCGGAAUUAUUGGGCGUAAAGGGCGCGUAGGCGGCCUGGUAAGUCUGGAGUGAAAGUCCUGCGCUUAACGUGGGAAUUGCUUUGGAUACUGUCGGGCUUGAGUGCAGGAGAGGUAAGUGGAAUUCUCGGUGUAGCGGUGAAAUGCGUAGAGAUCAGGAGGAACACCAGUGGCGAAGGCGACUUACUGGACUGUAACUGACGCUGAGGCGCGAAAGCGUGGGGAGCAAACAG